rnacentral:rRNA from 1 species
ACGAACGCUGGCGGCGUGCUUAACACAUGCAAGUCGAGCGAUGAAACUACUUCGGUAGUGAAUUAGCGGCGAACGGGUGAGGAACACGUGAGGAAUCUGCCUUCUACACUGGGAUAACUCCGGGAAACCGGGGCUAAUACCGGAUAUGAAACUUGGUGGCAUCACCGAGUUUGGAAAGUUUUUCGGUAGAAGAUGACCUCGCGGCCUAUCAGCUUGUUGGUGAGGUAAUGGCUCACCAAGGCGACGACGGGUAGCCGGCCUGAGAGGGCGACCGGCCACACUGGGACUGAGACACGGCCCAGACUCCUACGGG